rnacentral:rRNA from 1 species
AUUGAACGCUGGCGGCAUGCCUUACACAUGCAAGUCGAACGGUAACGGGCCUUCGGGUGCCGACGAGUGGCGAACGGGUGAGUAAUACAUCGGAACGUGCCCGAUCGUGGGGGAUAACGAGGCGAAAGCUUUGCUAAUACCGCAUACGAUCUACGGAUGAAAGCAGGGGACCGCAAGGCCUUGCGCGGACGGAGCGGCCGAUGGCAGAUUGGGUAGUUGGUGGGAUAAAAGCUUACCAAGCCGACGAUCUGUAGCUGGUCUGAGAGGAUGAUCAGCCACACUGGGACUGAGACACGGCCCAGACUCCUACGGGAGGCAGCAGUGGGGAAUUUUGGACAAUGGGCGCAAGCCUGAUCCAGCCAUGCCGCGUGCAGGAUGAAGGCUUUCGGGUUGUAAACUGCUUUUGUACGGAACGAAAAGCCUUCUUUUAAUACAGGAGGGUCAUGACGGUACCGUAAGAAUAAGCACCGGCUAACUACGUG